CUGCAGUUAAUUUGAUCCUUUUGUUUAUUAAUGUUGUACCUUUCUCCUGAUGCCUUCAAGCUGAUCCGAGGCGGAGAGGAUCAGGUGCACACAGGUGCUACAGGAUGCUGAAGCUGCUGUUUCCAUAGAGUGGAUGUGAUCUGCAGUAUUAUCCUAAAUGUGAUAGAAAUCCGUUGUUCUGUCAAAUACAUUUCAAGUAUAUCAAAGAUAAUGGAACAUUGUCACAAACCACAAGUGUCUCCGUGCGUCUCAGCCGUGUGUCAAGUUGAUCAAAGUACGGGAAUUAUUGUAGUAGUUA